CCCCAGCCGGGCCGGUCCCAGCUGCGCCCCCACCUAGGCCCGGCUCUCUUCCGGGGGUGGGGGGAAGCCGGGGCCCUCCCCUCAGGGCGGGCGGGCUAGCUACCUCAGCUCGGUUGGCUGCAGCACGUUCAACGUCGUCUUCUCGAGUCGUUCCAUCUCGGCCAGCGCCGGGAAGGGGACGACGGUUAUGGUAGCAGUGAUGGCACGCCGCGCUCUAGCUCGCUCACGCACUCGGCCCACUCAGACUAGAAGCCUCGUUUGUCGAUCUGCCUUCCCUUAUAAAGAAGAGGAAACCCAGUGGACGCAGCGGCUUCAUCUGGGAGAAUAUACAUCGUUCUGCACCCCUUGCCUUCCCCCUCCCCCCCAUCACUACCAUCAAGGGAGGGGAGGGGCUUCCUCAUCUCUAGGGUGAAUGAUUAGCACAAUUACUCUGUAUUGGCUUCAUUUUAGGCAAAGUCAAGUAUAAUGACUUUCCCGUUUGGUUGAUUUUGUUCCACAGAGUUCUCCAUGUUUCUCUGGAUUUCUCAUAUGCUCAUCCUUUUUUACAGUGCCAUCAUAUUUCAUUAUUCCAGUCAGAUGCCACCAUUUAUUUAAUCAUUAGGCAAUCAAUGGGUAUAACUCAGACUUCUCAUUUUACAGUAGAGGAAACUGAGGACUCAGAAAAUGAAGAGGAAGUAUGAUCUAAUGGAAAUUACACUGGGCAAAAAUUUCUGGGCUUCAGGUAGAGUAAGGACUAGAACCCAGGUCUCCUGGCUUCCAGGCUAGAGCCUGGUCUACCUCACUAGUUUACCCCAAUAGCCUUCCACUGGGUAGCCCCAUUCUUUUCACCAUGGAUGUUUUUAUUGACAUGAGUAAAAUGCACUCAGACUUAUAUAAGGGACCACCCUACACUGACUGCUUUUGGUAAAGUAAAUCCUGCAAAUCAGUUUCCUUAUCUGUAAAAUGAGGGGAUUAGGCUAGAUGACCUCUAAGAUCCCUUCUAAUUUGAAAUUCUAUUGUUUCUCCUUUUCUCCUAAAUAAACAGCUUUUCUAAAUUGGGGCUUUUGUACGU
rnacentral:lncRNA from 1 species